GCCUAGAGGAAUAAGACACAUCUUCCAGAGAAAGAUUUCAUUUCAGCUUAGAGGUAAAGGGAAGGUAGAAUUUAAUCAAGCAGAUUUUAAACUGUCUUUAAAGAAAGAAAAAAAACCACGUAGGCAGAUUCAAAUAGUAGCCAUGACCAAGGGCUUGAAGUGGUCUAUCUUAUUUAGGAAUUUGUUGGUACAGUCAUGCAGCACGUAAUGACAUUUUGAUCAAUAUUGGACUGCUUACAGGAUGGUGGGCCCAUAAAAUUAUGUUAUAAAGGAGCUGAAAAAUUGCUAUCACCUAAUGACAUCAUAGCCAUUGUAAAGUCAUAGUAGGAUGUGUGACUCACAUGUUUAAGGGGAUGCUGUUAUAAACAGAUCUACUACACUGACAACUGUAUAAAAGCAUAGUGCCUACAAUUAUGUACAGUACAUUGUACUAUACACUUUAUCAUCAUUUUAGAAUGUGCUACUUCUACUUAUAAGAUAAUUUUUACUGUAAAACAGUAUACCGUGGCACACUGGAAGAAGCCACCUAUAUUUGAGGCUGACUGCAUUUCUUGAGGACAUCAAGAAGCCAUGUUCAGCGGUGGACCUGUACCAUCUAAUUCUGUGUGCAAACCCAACUGGGAUGAGCUGCUAAGGAUUAAAAAGAGGCUGGUAUUGAGGUUGGAACCUGAGAAGCACAAGAACACUUUACUGUACCUCUUCUCUCCAAUAAUUCCUGUGCAAAAACCAAACCAAACAAAAAGUAAAACAGGUAAGCUCAGGUGGGGCUCAGGUAAAUGCCAACCCCAGGAGCCCAGUCCACAGUGAAGGAGAGUAGGGACUGAUGGAGUGAAGUAAAAGGCGUUGACCCCACUGUUUGUGUCUGACUCCUGUCACACUGCUUCCUUGCUGUCGUAAUGCUCUCUCUACUUGGCUUUGGAAAAGCAAACAAGUGCCAUGUAUUUCCUCAGUCUUUGAUGUUCAGUAACUGCUCCUUCAUGAACAUUACUGGUAGAAAUACUUGGCACAAAGUAAAGUUGAUAAUAGAUAAAACAGCACAUGAUAUGAGGUGUUAUUAACUAUAAACAGAA
rnacentral:lncRNA from 1 species